rnacentral:rRNA from 1 species
CGCAUCUGUGCAUGCAGCAUAUCAAUAAGCGGAGGAAAAGAAACUAACAAGGAUUCCCCUAGUAACGGCGAGUGAAGCGGGAAGAGCUCAAAUUUGAAAUCUUAAAGGGUUUCCCUUUACGAAUUGUAGUUUAAAGAAGUGUUUUCUGUUGAGGUUUUGGUAAAAGUUCUUUGGAAUAGGACAUCAUAGAGGGUGAGAAUCCCGUAUUUGACCUUUACUUUCAACUUUGUGAUACACUUUCAAAGAGUCGGAUUGUUUGGGAAUGCAGUCCAAAAUGGGUGGUAAAUUUCAUCUAAAGCUAAAUAUUGGCGAGAGACCGAUAGCGAACAAGUACCGUGAGGGAAAGAUGAAAAGAACUUUGAAAAGAGAGUUAAACAGUACGUGAAAUUGUCAAAAGGGAAGCGUUUGACACCAGUGUUGUUUUUCUGAAAAUCAAUUAAAGAACUGUUUAUGCUAAGUUGUUUAGACUUUAUCAGCUAACUGUUUAGUUUUGAGCUUUUCUUUAAUGCACUUUUCAGUUAACAAGUCAACAUCAAUUUCUUUUGCCGUAAAAAAGCUUGAGGAAGGUGGCUUGAGAUUCGUCUUAAGUGUUUAUAGCCUCUUGCCUAUGCAGUCGGAGAGAUUGAGGUCUGCAGCGUAGAUCCUUCGGGGCUAAAUGCAUUUGUGCUAAGUUAUAACAUUUUAUAGACAACUUGUUGACUAUGAUUUGUCUUGUAGUUUACUCGCUUAUGUUAUUUUACCUACGCUUAGGAUGUUGAACGCGCACAGAGUCUC